rnacentral:piRNA from 1 species
GAGAAAGGCAGAAACAAAAAAGGAUGAAUA